rnacentral:rRNA from 1 species
GAUCUUUAUAUAUUAUAAAUUUUAAUAAAAGAAAGAUAAAUAUUUUUAUAAAAAUUUAUUUAUAUUAUAUUGGGGUAAUAAUAAAAUUUUAUAAAUUUUUAUUUUUUAAAAACAAUUUAAUUGAAUUUUUGAUCCAUUAUUAUUGAUUAAAAAAUUAAGUUACCUUAGGGAUAACAGCAUAAUGAUUUUUAAGAGUUCUUAUCAAUAAAAUAGUUUGU